UCUGUUGUUUAAUUUUGCCUGAGCAAAUAUCAGCCUAUUACAUAUUUACACUGAAGCUAAGCAGGGCUGCGCCCGGUCAGUACCUGGAUGGGAGACCACAUGGGAAAGCAAGGUUGCUGCCGGAA
rnacentral:rRNA from 1 species